rnacentral:rRNA from 1 species
GGCGAACGGGUGAGUAAUAUAUCGGAACGUGCCCUGUAAUGGGGAAUAACUAAUUGAAAGAUUAGCUAAUACCGCAUACGACCUACGGGUGAAAGCAGGGGAUCUUCGGACCUUGCGUUAUUGGAGCGGCCGAUAUCUGAUUAGCUAGUUGGUAGGGUAAAAGCCUACCAAGGCGACGAUCAGUAGCUGGUCUGAGAGGACGAUCAGCCACACUGGAACUGAGACACGGUCCAGACUCCUACGGGAGGCAGCAGUGGGGAAUUUUGGACAAUGGGGGAAACCCUGAUCCAGCCAUCCCGCGUGAGUGAAGAAGGCCUUCGGGUUGUAAAGCUCUUUCGGAAGUGAAGAAAACUUAUUUCGUAAUAUGUUAUAAGAAUGACGGUAACUUUAGAAGAAGCUCCGGCUAACUACGUGCCAGCAGCCGCGGUAAUACGUAGGGUGCGAGCGUUAAUCGGAAUUACUGGGCGUAAAGCGUGC